rnacentral:siRNA from 1 species
GAUAGGAAGAGCCGACAUCGA